GCCAUUGUAGCUUAAAUCAAAGCAUGACACUGAAGCCGUCAAGAUGAACCUUAAAACGUUCCAAGGGCA
rnacentral:tRNA from 2 species